GCGUCAUUAGCUCAGUUGGUAGAGCAGCAGACUCUUAAUCUGAUGGUCGGAGGUUCGACUCCUCUAUGACGCACCA
rnacentral:tRNA from 2 species